UUGAACGCUGGCGGCAGGCCUCACACAUGCAAGUCGAACGGUAACAGGAAGAAGCUUGCUUCUUUGCUGACGAGUGGCGGACGGGUGAGUAAUGUCUGGGAAACUGCCUGAUGGAGGGGGAUAACUACUGGAAACGGUAGCUAAUACCGCAUAACGUCGCAAGACCAAAAAGGGGGACCUUCGGGCCUCUUGCCAUCGGAUGUGCCCAGAUGGGAUUAGCUAGUAGGUGGGGUAACGGCUCACCUAGGCGACGAUCCCUAGCUGGUCUGAGAGGAUGACCAGCCACACUGGAACUGAGACACGGUCCAGACUCCUACGGGAGGCAGCAGUGGGGAAUAUUGCACAAUGGGCGCAAGCCUGAUGCAGCCAUGCCGCGUGUAUGAAGAAGGCCUUCGGGUUGUAAAGUACCUUCAGCGGGGAGGAAGGGAGUAAAGUUAAUACCUUUGCUCAUUGACGUUACCCGCAGAAGAAGCACCGGCUAACUCCGUG
rnacentral:rRNA from 1 species